rnacentral:rRNA from 1 species
UACGUAGGGAGCGAGCGUUGUCCGGAAUCAUUGGGCGUAAAGCGCGCGUAGGCGGCCCGAUCAGUCUGUUGUGAAAGUCCAGGGCUCAACCCUGGAAGGCCAAUGGAUACUGUCGGGCUAGAAUUCGGAAGAGGCAAGUGGAAUUCCUGGUGUAGCGGUGGAAUGCGCAGAUAUCAGGAGGAACACCAAUAGCGAAGGCAGCUUGCUGGGACGAUAUUGACGCUGAGGUGCGAAAGCGUGGGGAGCGAACAGG